AGCUUUGCACAAUGGCAGUAUCGUAGCCAAUGAGGUUUAUCCGAAGCGCAAUUAUUGCUAAUUGAAAGUCUCAUUCAACCUU
ensembl:snRNA U4 U4 spliceosomal RNA